GGCUCAGAUUGAACGCUGGCGGCAGGCCUAACACAUGCAAGUCGAACGGUAGCACAGAGAGCUUGCUCUCGGGUGACGAGUGGCGGACGGGUGAGUAAUGUCUGGGAAACUGCCCGAUGGAGGGGGAUAACUACUGGAAACGGUAGCUAAUACCGCAUAACGUCGCAAGACCAAAGAGGGGGACCUUCGGGCCUCUUGCCAUCGGAUGUGCCCAGAUGGGAUUAGCUUGUAGGUGAGGUAACGGCUCACCUAGGCGACGAUCCCUAGCUGGUCUGAGAGGAUGACCAGCCACACUGGAACUGAGACACGGUCCAGACUCCUACGGGAGGCAGCAGUGGGGAAUAUUGCACAAUGGGCGCAAGCCUGAUGCAGCCAUGCCGCGUGUAUGAAG
rnacentral:rRNA from 1 species